ensembl:lncRNA
CUUCUUGGCGAUCUGGAAGCCUAGAGAACCAUUUUUUUUUUUUUUAAACUAGAAACAAAGUAAAGAAAAGAGAUGGGGUGGGGUUUGGUGGUCUGGCCCGCCGGAAGGAGCUUGGGUGGAGCCGACUGUGCAAGCUUCAGGGCAGAGGGUGAGAGAAGGCCGCCACUAGCAACUAACAGCAGCUACCUAAACUCAACAGAGAGGUCGGAGGUAUUGUUGGAAAUGCCACGAACCCCGUGAUUCUGUCUGCCCGCCAAAGAGAGAUGAAAACCCAAGUUGUGCGGUGCAGCUUUAAAGGGGCUGGUGAUUGACAGAAUGUGUAGCAGUGGAUGGGGUGGAGCCGCUGGGUGGGGUCUGGGACAGGCAGCUGGGAGAAACCAAAAGGAAGAAAAAAGAAAACCGUAGCCCCUGAAAUCGCUAAUACCAGGGGGAAGCUAGCCAGAAAGGGAGGACAGGAGGGUUUUAGAGCUCACCUCCAUUCCUACCCUGAUCAACUCUCUCAGACCUUUCUAUCUCCUUUUGAGAUAAUUAAAACCUGCUGUACACCGGCCCUAGUCGGUGCCCUUUCCUAACUCCACUGAAUUAGAUUUGUAGUACGAGUGAGUGAAGACCCCCGGUCCACCACCUCAACCCCGGCCCCGCCCCAUCGGCCUGGCCCGGGGCUGGGAGCAGAGGAUGCCUUUGGAGGCGCAGAAUCCGAAAUGUUAUCUGGCUGCUUAAAGCUUCUAGCUGUGAGUUGGGAGGGCUCCAUCUUGCCCAGCUUCUUAAAGCGGCAGUGCACCAGUUCUGAUGUGGGAAAUACUGAAAAUUCGAUUUCGAAAAGGAUGGCAUUGACUCAUCUUUACUAUGACACAAGGUGUGUUGGGGGAAUUUGUACGGAGAGGCAAGUUUUUCCUCCUUAUACCAGCCUCCAAACUUGUUCUAAUAUCCAGUUGAUUCUCAGGAGGCGCAUCCUGGGCUAUGCUGCCAAGUUGUACAUUAGUUAACUGCAGAGUCAACUGGCCUUGCAGUUUUAGCUCAAGAGGAAAAUUUAUCAAGAUUUGAAAAAAUAAUUUAUUUUACAAAUAUUUAUCAAAAGCUAGGUUCAUUGUCUGUGACUAAUCCCACUGCUGAAUGUCUGUAAUAUGUCAGGACAAUGUAGAGUGAUGUCACUGACUCCUUUAUUAACAGAUUGGUGGCCAAGGUUUCUUUCUAGAGUCGAAUGUUGAAUUUGAUUUCAGCAUUUAUCAAGCAUGUGUCACGUGAAGGUUCCCAUUAUUCAUCUUUAUUGUCUUGUCUUUAGUACCAAGCAUCCAUAUGCCCUAACCCAAGUGAUUGGGAGAUUCAGCUGAAAGAGAUAGGAACUCAAGUCAAAAUGGCAUGCAAAGAGAGAAGGGCAGGAUGUUUCAAUAGGGAAGCUAAAGGCUACCUUGACUGAUCUGUUAUUCCCAUGUCCAUGUCCAACCUGGAAGAUUGUCUUGGGCAGGAGGGCUUUACCAGCUCCCUUCUGCUGUUAAAUAAAAGAACUAGUGUGGUGGAAACUUGUUAGAAG